GACGAACGCUGGCGGCGUGCUUAACACAUGCAAGUCGAGCGGAAAGGCCCACUUGUGGGUACUCGAGCGGCGAACGGGUGAGUAACACGUGAGUAAUCUGCCCUUCACUCUGGGAUAACGUUCAGAAAUGGGUGCUAAUACCGGAUGUGCACAUGGUCUCGCAUGGGGUUGUGUGGAAAGAUUUUUUGGUGGGGGAUGUGCUCGCGGCCUAUCAGCUUGACGGUGGGGUAAUGGCCUACCGUGGCUUUGACGGGUAGUCGGCCUGAGAGGGUGACCGGCCACACUGGGACUGAGACACGGCCCAGAAUCCUACGGGAGGCAGCAGUGGGGAAUAUUGGACAAUGGGCGGAAGCCUGAUCCAGCAACGCCGCGUGAGGGAUGACGGCCUUCGGGUUGUAAACCUCUUUCACCAUUGACGAAGCUGCAUCUUUUUGGGUGUGGUGACGGUAGGUGGGGAAGAAGCACCGGCCAACUACGUGCCAGCCGCCGCCGCGGUAA
rnacentral:rRNA from 1 species